rnacentral:lncRNA from 1 species
AUGAGAAUAAUGGCCUUUCCUGCAGGGCUGGUCUCCACCAGAGAAGUGCUGCUCACGUCUUCGCUGUGGUGGUGGCAAUGGCUUCAGGCCUGGACUCUCCUGCUCUACCGCUUGACCCAAGCCAAGCUGCUUUUCUCUGCAUCUCAUUUUGAGCAUCUGCACACUGUGAACAGAAGCCGGCUCCUUAGAUCCGCACACCCGGUCAGCCGUCCCUGGCUCCAGCUCCUUAGACCGGGUUGUGAAAUCCUGUCUCUUCGUCCUGCCUGCGAUGGAGAUCAGCUUCCAAAGGGAAGCGGGCAGAAUCAGCAGCCAGUUCUCCACAGGUGGAUUCUCAACAGCAGAAUCCGGAGCCGCAGAAAUCUUGACCCUGCCGGGUGGGUGAGACCCCUGUGUAGAAAUUUCCAAGGAACCAGAGGCCAGCUCGUCGUGGGAGUUUUGCCUCUGGGCCAGCGCCAGGUUGGGUGCUGAGAUCUGGGUAUGAGGAUAUGCAGUUGCUGAACUCAAGGAUCUCACUGUUUGGUGGUUGAGGCCCUUGUGGCUUUGCUGUGCACAGGGGAAAGUUUCGCUUCUUCCAGCCUAGGUUGCUCACCACCCCAGUGCUCUGCCCCCACCUCAUAAACACAUCUGGGGGCUCUCCCAAGUUAUAAAGCUAUGGCUACUUCAUUUUAGAAGUUUUCAGAUUACAAAAACGCACAGUGGCCAGCCACAUUCACUGCUAAUGCCAACAGAGGUAACCACUCUUUUACGUUCUAAUCUUUUUCAUCUAUACUCCCUGAUCUAUUUCCGGUGACUGAUCAUAUAAAGGUGUAUUUUUUCUAUAUUUACAACCAUUUAUCAUGUACAAGAAUGAUCUCAUAUGGUCAAACGUUCCUUGAAAAUAUUGUGUUCCCGAACACAGGGGUAGUAAUCAAAAAAACAGUGUUGUGAUGUGUUUUGCUUUUAUCAAAGCGAUCUUAUUGUCUUUGUUAAACACAUAAGCUUAUGGGGAAGAGAAUUAUAAAUCUAUGUAUAGGAACUUGGAUUGGACAAUGUAACAUUUUAGGAUAAUGCAUCUUAAGGAAGAAGGUUUGAAAGCAUUGGGUCUUCAUUGACCUUAACUCAUACAAAUUUGAAAGAUGGGCAUUUUCCAUACCAGCCGUUGUUUUCUGACAUAGAUCUUGAAGUUGGUUUGGCUCAGAAGGCAUUACUGCCUAACCAGGAAAAACUAGUGAGUCUUAGUAUUUCUAGGAGAAUUUUUUUUUUUAUCUUCUUUCCCCAGGAUUCAGGGUUUUUUGGAGCAACCAAGUAAUACAUUCUUCCAUUUUUUUUUUUUUUUUUUGACAGGCAGAGUUAGUGAGAGAGAGAGACAAAGCUCUUCCUUCCAUUGGUUCACCCCCCAAAUGGCUGCUAUGGCCGGCGCGCUGCGCCGAUCCAAAGCCAAGAGCCAGGUGCUUCCUCCUGGUCUCUCAUGCGGGUGCAGGGCCCAAGUACUUGGGCCAUCCUCCACUGCACUCCCUGGCCACAGCAGAGAGCUGGACUGGAAGAGGAGCAACCGAAACAGAACUGGCGCCCUGACCGGGACUAGAACCCGGGGUGCUGGCACCACAGGCAGAGGAUUUGCCUAGUGAGCCGCAGCGCCGGCCAAGGAAUACAUUCUUAUGACCAAAAAUGUUUACUCUCUACUUUUCCACUUUUAGCUUAAGAUAUACGGUCAACAAUUGUCUUCCACUAAUUUAUUUUCUUAAAGGGAAACUCACAUUUCUGAACAUAUACUUUUCUUCUGAAGGGGGGGGGGGUCUAGGUUUUCUCUGUAAUAUGGAUGUAGCCAGCCACUUGUCUAAGACAAAGCUUGCUGUAAAAAUUACAUUUUGAAAAAUCUCCUUUGACUCUUCUUAGUAUUUCAACCAUGACUGGAAACAAGAAUCACCUGGAAAACUUGUUAAACUGCCUGAGGGCCUUGCUCCCAAUUCAUUAAUUCUGGUAUGGGUCCAGAGAUCCUUAUUUUUAAUAAGAACCUCAGAGGAUUCUCAUGUCCAAGGACUGUCCUUUGGGAAAUAUUGCCUGAACAAAUAAAGGUCUGAUUCUUUAGCA